UACGUAGGGGGCAAGCGUUGUCCGGAUUUAUUGGGCGUAAAGAGCGUGUAGGCGGCUGGGUAGGUCCGUUGUGAAAACUCGAGGCUCAACCUCGAGACGCCGAUGGAAACACUCCAGCUAGAGUCCGGAAGAGGAGAGUGGAAUUCCCGGUGUAGUGGUGGAAUGCGUAGAGAUCGGGAGGAACACCCGUGGCGAAGGCGAUGGCCUGGACCUCGAGCUGACGCUGAGGCGCGAAAGCGUGGGGAGCGAUCCGG
rnacentral:rRNA from 1 species